AGAUUGAACGCUGGCGGCAGGCCUAACACAUGCAAGUCGAGCGGUAGAGAGGUGCUUGCAUCUCUUGAGAGCGGCGGACGGGUGAGUAAUGCCUAGGAAUCUGCCUAGUGGGGGGGGAUAACGUUCGGAAACGGACGCUAAUACCGCAUACGUCCUACGGGAGAAAGCGGGGGACCUUCGGGCCUCGCGCCAUUAGAUGAGCCUAGGUCGGAUUAGCUAGUUGGUGAGGUAAUGGCUCACCAAGGCGACGAUCCGUAACUGGUCUGAGAGGAUGGUCAGUCACACUGGAACUGAGACACGGUCCAGACUCCUAGGGAGGCAGCAGUGGGGAAUAUUGGACAAGUGGGCGAAAGCCUGAUCCAGCCAUGCCGCGUGUGUGAAGAAGGUCUUACGGAUUAGUAAAGCUAACUUUUAAGGUUGGGAAGGAAGGCUAAGGUUAACCUAAGUUACCGUAUUCGUGUUUUUACGACGUUUAACCGACUAAGAAUAACGCACCGG
rnacentral:rRNA from 1 species